UGGGGAAUUUUGGACAAUGGGCGCAAGCCUGAUCCAGCCAUGCCGCGUGUCUGAAGAAGGCCUUCGGGUUGUAAAGGACUUUUGUACAGGAAGAAAAAGUUGUGGCUAAUACCCAUGACUGAUGACGGUACCGUAAGAAUAAGCACCGGCUAACUACGUGCCAGCAGCCGCGGUAAUACGUAGGGUGCGAGCGUUAAUCGGAAUUACUGGGCGUAAAGCGGGCGCAGACGGUUAUUUAAGCAGGAUGUGAAAUCCCCGGGCUCAACCUGGGAACUGCGUUCUGAACUGGAUAGCUAGAGUGUGUCAGAGGGGGGUAGAAUUCCACGUGUAGCAGUGAAAUGCGUAGAGAUGUGGAGGAAUACCGAUGGCGAAGGCAGCCCCCUGGGAUAACACUGACGUUCAUGCCCGAAAGCGUGGGUAGCAAACAG
rnacentral:rRNA from 1 species